UCCCAAGCGUUGUUCGGAUUCACUGGGCGUAAAGGGUGCGUAGGCGGUCGGGUAAGUCUGAUGUGAAAUCUCACAGCUUAACUGUGAAACUGCAUUGGAUACUAUCCGGCUAGAGGAAUGGAGGGGAGACUGGAAUACUUGGUGUAGCAGUGAAAUGCGUAGAUAUCAAGUGGAACACCAGUGGCGAAGGCGAGUCUCUGGACAUUUCCUGACGCUGAGGCACGAAAGCCAGGGGAGCAAACGGG
rnacentral:rRNA from 1 species